GCAGUCGAGCGCGGGAAGCAAACUGAAUCCUUCGGGAAGGACGUUUGUGGAACGAGCGGCGGACGGGUGAGUAACACGUGGGCAACCUGCCUGUAAGACUGGGAUAACUCCGGGAAACCGGGGCUAAUACCGGAUAACUCAUCGGAUCGCAUGAUCCGAGGUUGAAAGAUGGCUUCUUGCUAUCACUUACAGAUGGGCCCGCGGCGCAUUAGCUAGUUGGUGAGGUAACGGCUCACCAAGGCCACGAUGCGUAGCCGACCUGAGAGGGUGAUCGGCCACACUGGGACUGAGACACGGCCCAGACUCCUACGGGAGGCAGCAGUAGGGAAUCAUCCGCAAUGGACGAAAGUCUGACGGUGCAACGCCGCGUGAGUGAGGAAGGCCUUCGGGUCGUAAAACUCUGUUGUUAGGGAAGAACAAGUUCCGUUCGAAUAGGGCGGAGCCUUGACGGUACCUAACCAGAAAGCCACGGCUAACUACGUGCCAGCAGCCGCGGUAAUACGUAGGUGGCAAGCGUUGUCCGGAAUUAUUGGGCGUAAAGCGCGCGCAGGCGGUUCCUUAAGUCUGAUGUGAAAGCCCACGGCUCAACCGUGGAGGGUCAUUGGAAACUGGGGAACUUGAAGACAGAAGAGGAGAGCGGAAUUCCACGUGUAGCGGUGAAAUGCGUAGAUAUGUGGAGGAACACCAGUGGCGAAGGCGGCUCUCUGGUCUGUGCUUGACGCUGAGGCGCGAAAGCGUGGGGAGCGAACAGGAUUAGAUACCCUGGGUAGUCCACGCCGUAAACGAUGAGUG
rnacentral:rRNA from 1 species